GAAGCUCUAAGAAGCCAUGCCUUUGUAGAAGAAAUUUAUCCCUAUUAAAGAAAACUCCAUUUAUAAAGGUGUCUGCCACUCUGCACCUGGAAAAAAAGGAGGAAUAAAUCUCUAGAAAUUCUCAUCACUGGGGAAGGCAGUGGCUGAAAUUUGCAUAACAAACCUAAUAAGGUUAACUGGACUUUCUCCACACACUUCCUUUUGUUUGUUUGUUUAUUUCAGAGAAUAAUGGCAUUUAAAACAAAGCCUAAGACAACUCUUUAACAUCUACUUAGAGAUUACUCAUUCUUUUAGAAUCACCCAUGUAUACAAUGAAGUUUACAAGUUAUGAAGCACCUCUUGUGUUUUCUCUUGUUAAUCUCUCUUUUGUUACAGGAAAUCCCAGCUAACAAUUUAUGAAGGGUGUAGGAGAAAACUAGUUUCUUUCCCCUAUGCCUACAAAGGUAAAAUGUCUUUCUCAUUAUAUCCAAUGGAAGGUAUAUGCCACCAGGCCUAGUGGUGCACACCUGUAAUCCCAGCAGGAGGCUGAGACAGGAGGAUUACAAAUUCAAGGUCAGCCUCAGCAACUUAGUGAUGCCCUCAGCAAUUUAGCAAGACCUGUCUCAAAAUAAAAAAUAAAAUAGCUCAGUGACAAAGUACCACUGGGUUCAAUUCCUAGUAUCAAAAAAAUAGUAUCUGCUAUAAAAUAUCUGCAUGACUAUAAAACAGCAUGACUUAUCACUGAUGAUUAUAGCCUUGUUCUUACCUACUCCACUCCUCUUUGCCAGAUUUGUCUCCUAUACAAUUACUUCUUUCUUCCACAUUUCAUACUGUAUUUAUGAGGAGCAAGUCACAAAAUAGAGUCCAC
rnacentral:lncRNA from 1 species